GGGAAGGUAGCUCAGGGUUGAGCGCUUGCCUUGCAUGCAUGAGGCCCUGGGUUCGAUUCCUCAGCACCA
rnacentral:tRNA from 1 species